CUUUACCUUCUUGGUUGAAAAUUGCCCUAGGUUUUCUUGUUUUGCUGUUUUCAUGUCCCCUAUUUCCUUCACUUCUUCAGCUGAAAAUGUGUUGAUUCUUGAUGGGUUUUGUCCAUCUGCCGUUGUUUGUUUAAUAAGAAAGUUGAAUUGCUUUCUUCUAUUGAACUUUCAUUUUCGUUUUCUUAGUUGGGUUUCUUCACAUCCUCUGAUUUGAGGUUCAGUUCUUUAAAUUCAACUGAAAAUUUGCUUUCUUGUAUGUCUGUUUUCUUUUCCUUAUUAAUGGUUUAACUAUCUUCUUGUUUCUUGAUUUUCUUUUUUGAUUUUUGUACUUGGUUUCAGUAAUUCUGUUCCAAUUGGGUUUCUAAUUCCAUGGGAAUUUGUCAUGGAAAACCCACUAAAAACCCACAAAGAAAAUCUGAAAACCCAAUAAUUCCAGUGAGAACGAGCCGGGUUUAAUUCCCAAUGAGAACUCACCUGCCAAUUCCAGUGUGAGUUCAAACCCUCUACACAAAUUCAAGCUCCCAUUUCCUCCGCCUUCGCCGGCAAAGCACAUUCGGGCAUUGCUUGCUCGAAGGCAUGGCUCGGUUAAGCCGAAUGAGGCCUCAAUACCAGAAGGGAAUGAGAUUGAAUUGGGGUUGGACAAGAAUUUUGGGUUUUCAAAGCAAUUCAUGAUCUAUUAUGAGCUAGGUGAAGAGAUGGGGCGCGGGCAUUUUGGUUAUACUUGUUCUGCCAAGGCGAAGAAAUAGAGCUUAAAAGGACAGGAUGUGGCAGUCAAGCUUAUCCAGAAAUCGAACAUAAACUACUCUGGAGAUUUUCCAAUUUGUUUAUGAAAUUAACCCAAAUGCAAAUCAGAAAAAGUAGUUGAAUUCUUCUUUUAUUCUAGUUAGAAGCUUACUUUGUAUCAUGUUUUGUGUUUUUCAGGUUAUGCAAAGGAGGUGAAUUAUUGGAUAGAAUACUUUCUAGAGGUGGAAAAUACUCGGAAGAAGAUGCAAAGGCUGUCGUGGUACAGAUUUUGAGCGUGGUUGCCUACUGACAUCUCCAAGGUGUAGUUCACCGUGACCUCAAGCCUAAGUAACAUUGUGGAUGUGAACUCAUAUAAUGAGUUGAAAGAUGCAAUUAGUCAGGGGAAAUGGGCAAGGGGUCCACUGCACUUGUAAGGAAGAAAAAGAUGGAGAGGUUCCAAGGGUUCUGCAUCUGUAUACAGCUGAAAGAUUAUCAUCAUUUGGAGAGCUGGCACUAAUGAAUAACAAACCACUCCAGGCCUCUGUCCGUGCUGUGACAAGUGGAACUCUUUGGGCUUUAAAAAGGGAAGAUUUUCGAGGAAUUCUUACGUCAGAAUUUUCAAAUUUAUCAUCAUUGAAGUUGCUUCGAUCAAUAGAUCUGCUCUCGAGGUUGACAAUCUUACAGCUGAGUCACAUUGCAGAAUCUCUUUCUGAAGUUUCCUUUUCUGAUGGGCAGAUAAUAGCUGAUAGGGAUGAGGCUUUCUUGGGAUUGUACAUUAUCGAGAAGAGACAAGUUAGAAUUACUGUUGAUUACAUUACGGAGAAGUAAUUUGAUUCUGACAAUACAAUUGCAGCAAAUAAAAGAGAUAAGGAACAAACCAGGAUUGUGGCCUCUAUAUCGAGGGUUGAGCACUUGCUGAGGGAUGUGAAGGAUACAACAAUUAGCACCCUUGCAAUAGAGG